AUGAUCUCGUCGUGCCCCAUCUGCGGCCACCAAGUCCUGACGGCCGAGCUCGAACGGCACGCGAACAGCCACUUCGAUGAUGAUGAGGUUCAGAGGGACAUGGAGUUGGCGCAGUUAGCCAUGGCUGCAGAAUUGAGCACUAGUAAUGUCGUGGAUGUACCUCAACAUAGCAAGCGUCCGUUCCCUAAUGACGAUUCUCUUGCUCAAGGGGCCUCAUCAAGCAUCAUCAGAGGCCCAUCUCCUUAUGAAAAUGUACUGUAUGAACAAAUUUCUUGCUUGGUCGGAGCACAGGUUAGAAGCGAAAUUCAACGAAUUGAAGCUGGCGUUAUGAACUUGUUGAGGAGCUGCCUUGAAUCUGAAGGCGGUUCGUCGACAAGUAUAAUAUCAGGCUAUGUUGACCAUCAUCAGAGUCUUUCAGCCGAAGACAAGGGAUGGGGAUGUGGGUGGAGAAAUAUCCAGAUCAUGAGCUCUCAUUUGUUGAAGCAAAGAGCAGAAACGAGAGAGGUUCUGUUUGGUGGCUGUGGGUUUGUUCCUGACAUCCCUUCACUUCAGAGAUGGCUUGAGAUCGCUUGGGAUAAAGGUUUUGAUGCUGUUGGUGCAAGUCAUUUCGAUGGCAAAAUUUAUGGUGUCAAGAAGUGGAUAGGGGCAUCAGAAUGUGUUACCCUCUUGCGCUCUUUUGGUGUGCGUGCAAGGAUUGUAGAUUUUGAUAGCACAGAAUCAUCGAGCCUGCAAGGUAAGAGCGGGAAACGAGUAUGUGGGCCCAUGGAUAAGUAUUUGAUCAAGACUAAUCCUCCUCCAAGAUCAUCGACUUGUGAACUUAGUCAAGAGGAUGCUGAGAACAUGAGAGGCCAGCAGGUCCUUGUCGACUGGGUAUGGAACUACUUUUCAAGCAAGCGUGCUGAUGUGUUACACAAUUCAAAGAAUGUCAUCAUCAGCGAUAAAACCCCAUUGUAUUUCCAACAUCAAGGUCAUUCGAGGACUAUAGUUGGGAUUCAAAAGCAAAAGGGUAAUCGUGGAUCUCAAGACCGAUAUAACCUUUUGGUAUUAGACCCUGGCCAUAGAACCGCUGAUUUAGAGAGGUCUCUUACAACCAAAAAAGGAUGGCCGAGGCUGUUGAAAAGAGGUGUUCACACCCUCAGGAAACCACAAUAUCAGUUGUGCUACGUGGAUCCUGGAAUUGCUAGUUCAGAAGAAACAGAGCAGCUCAAGACUAUUGACAGUAUCCUGAUCAGGUUCUAG
rnacentral:rRNA from 1 species